GCUGUGGCUCAGUGGUUGAGCAUCUGUUUUGCAUGCAGAAAUCCCCAGGUUUAAUACCCAGCAUCUCCA